rnacentral:rRNA from 1 species
UACGGGGGGUGCAAGCGUUAUCCGGAAUCACUGGGUUUAAAGGGUGCGUAGGCGGCUUGAUAAGUCAGAGGUGAAAGCCCACGGCUCAACUGUGGAACUGCCUUUGAUACUGUCAGGCUUGAAUUGGGUUGAGGCAGGCGGAAUGUGGCAUGUGGCGGUGAAUUUCUUAGAUAUGGCAUAGAACACCGGUUGCGAAGGUAGCCUGCUAAGCCUUGAUUGACGUUGAGUCACGAAAGCGUGGGGAGCGGACAGG